AGUCCACCUGGCCAUGCUGCUGCUCCAGUUUCAACUGACCUGAGCCCUAGGACCAUGCCCCAGGACGACCUGACAUGAUGACUCCUUGCUGUCCCCAGUCCACCUGACUGUGCUGCUGCUCCAGUUUCAACUGUUCUGCCUUGUUAUUAUUCGACCAUGCUGGUCAUUUAUGAACAUUUGAACAUCUUGGCCAUGUUCUGUUAUAAUCUCCACCCGGCACAGCCAGAAGAGGACUGGCCACCCCACAUAGCCUGGUUCCUCUCUAGGUUUCUUCCUAGGUUUUGGCCUUUAUAGGGAGUUUUUCCUAGCCACCGUGCUUCUACACCUCUAUUGCUUGCUGUUUGGGGUUUUAGGCUGGGUUUCUGUACAGCACUUUGAGAUAUCAGCUGAUGUGCGAAGGGCUAUAUAAAUAAAAUUUGAUUGAAUUUGAUCCUAUAUGCUACUUUUAUUAUUCUCCUGUAAAUGGUUCAGUGCCAAUAAUUUAGGCUGUGUGUAGAAUGAAUAAAGGAAAUUACCUCUACUACUAAAUUACUACCAGAUUAUAGUUAUAAGGAAAACAGCAUACAAAUUUGGCUUGUAUUCAUUUGCCUAUAAUUAAUCAGAAUUCCAUUAUGUUUCCAUUAAAAAGAGAAUACUUCAAAAUGAGAAGAUCCUGCCAUGGAAAAGACGACUGGUUGGACAUCAAGUGUAAAGGAGGGGAAAUAACUCCCACCAUGCAGCAGGACACCUUCAGCUGUGGGGUCUUUUUAAUGCAGAUGGACAAGGAAGGAAGUUGCCCAACGUCCCAUCCCAAAUGGAUAUAGAACCUUCACAAAAACACAUGCAGCAACGGCAAAAAGAAAUGGCUGAGGAUUUACAAAAAAUGUCUGGCAUGUAAUGACAUUUAAUUCAAAGUAAAUGUCAAAUCAUUAUUUUUAUGCAGUUGUGUGGGACAGCCAUAUGUUCAGUUCAUGCCUAUGAGUUCAGAGUUCAACAACUGCUUCAUGUGUGCCACUGAUAAAGAACCUUAAUGCAGCCCAAAGACUGACUGGGUUAGUAACUUUAUUUAACCUGUUUAUAAUCUUUUGACAACAGAGACGGCAUGUCAGACAAUUUAUGAUAUAACACAAUGGAUGGCUAAUUUGUAAUACUGCAUUGAUAUUUGCUAUUAUUUCUAACAUGUUAGGCUUUGGUUUGAUUGAAUGUUUUGCAUGCCAACGGUGGUUCCAUGUGCUGUGCCUAGGAAUGAAAACAAUAGAGUUCAACAGAGUAAAGAACACAAACUGGAAGUGCUGUCUUUGUUGUUGAAAAUGUAUGCUAUACUCCAUCCACACUGAAGAGGCUCUGAAAUGUACAUCAACCAGGGAUAAAGAGAAAGUUAACACUGUGAAAUGUUUUGUACUUAUUUGAAGUGUCUGUUGACAUGUUGGAAAAGAUUAAAGGUCUACAAUUUGUUUAA